rnacentral:lncRNA from 1 species
AAUAUUUCAGGGCACCAUGCAAGUAUUAUUAAGGAUAACUUGUCUCAAAAUGUCUGUAAUGCUCAUUGUUAUGCCAAAAGAUGCAUUCACUGGUUUAUCAUUGAUAACUGCCCUCCCAUGACUAAAUUGUACCACAGGAGGAAAUGGAAGAGCAAUAGGGGAAUGCACGUACACAUGAGGGGGAUGUCACCAAGGAUCAACUCUGGGAGUUGGUAUCUAACAAACUUGCACAUGCAGCAGAUGGGACAGAAUUGUUUCGGAUGGUAUGUGGAAUAAGGGGAAAUUUGGGGGACGAAAUGAGGUACGAAAGGGCUGAGUGAGAGUUUGGCUAGGAGUUAGCAGAACACUCAGGUCCGCUAUAUCUGAAUAUUAAUAAUAUCAGACAGGGAGGCUUGAUAAGGGAGUUUGUGCUGUACAGCAAAACAGCCCCAUACAGAACAAUGCAUGUGACCUAGAGUUACGCUAGUAGCUGAAAUACAUUUACUUUUGCAAAAACCAUCAGAAAAAUCCUUUCAAUCGAGAUUUGAAGUGAAUGCAAGUGUCUAAAUAAGUCAGUUACAAAAGCAGAAAAGUUUUUGAUUGAGAUUCUUGGCUCUACCUUACUAAUUAUAUAGGAUUUAAAUUCUAAAUAAACAAAGUGACGGAUAAAUGGGCUAAUUGCAUAAAUGCAUUAGGUAUGAAGUUUGAUUUAUCAGCUGAGUUGCAGCAAGAACUAACACAAUUGUAAUGCACCAAAGACACGGUAAAUGAGAAAGUAAACCAAACACACCUUUGUUAACAUCCUUUUAGCAAGUAUGUGAUAGUGACGUUGCCAUAUCCGUUGACCCACCAUAGUUGCCACCAAUACACUGUAAAAUAUCCCAAUUACUGUAAAAAGUCCCAGAACAAUCAAAGCCAUUAUGAAUAGUAAUGGUAGCCCUGCUUCCCCAGCACCUCCCAAACAACCACCACAUUCUGUUGCCAUGGUUCCACAGCCCUCAAAACAUGCAGUGCAAUCAGUCCACAAACAAAGAGUGCCUGGCAAAUGACAGUCAGCGCAAACUCUGCAACAACAGCAUACACAAAUAAAUAAAUAAAAACCUUAGUCAUUAAUCAUCAUUAACAUUCUGAAUUUCAGACGUCAAACCAACAAUAAGAUGCAUCACAUAUAAGCGAGCAUGAAUAAAUUACCAGCUGAGUUUUAUAUUCAUGUGAAAAAGAUAAAUCUUAUGCAUGUAAGAAAGUCCAAAAUUUAGACCAAAAUAAACACCAAAUACCAUCUCCAAUCAUAAUUCUGGCAUAAUAAAAUUAAGGGUUAAUGGUGCUUUACCCCCUUGUAAUAUAGGUCAUUUUUGGUUUUCUCCCCUGUAAAUUUUUUUUUUUGAUUUACCCCCUGUAAAAAAAAAAAAUUGGAAUACCCCACUAAUAGGUCAUAAAAAAACAACUUUAUUUUUUUUUUUUCCAGAAUUUUUUAGUUUUUUUAUGACCUAUUAGAGGGCAUUCCAUAAAAAAAAUAUUUUACAGGGGAAAAACCAAAAAUGACCUAUAUUACAGGGGGUAAAGCACCAUUAACCCUAAAAUUAAAUAAGAAAACAAAAAUCGCUAUAAUGACUACCAGAACGACAAGCACUUUUAUAUUUUGAAGGGGGUUCACAAAAUGUUUUAGUUGAAAAAACUCAUUACAAAAUGUAAGUGCAGUUACAAACGCUGUUUUGUGCUAAAGCAAUGAGAAUGGUUAAUAUACAAUAUCAUCAUCAUUGGAAAAAUUGUGUAGUGUACGCUAAAAUCUGGUAUUGCCAUUAUAUAUAAUAUAGUUAAUACUGAUACUAUGAAUAACGACGCUUCAAGCAGAUGCUAAGAGCAAACUUAUGUGUUUUUAACAGUGUCAAAGGCUCGUAAGCAUGUAAAAUAAGUGCUGUUACCCAGG